rnacentral:lncRNA from 1 species
CCUAGGCUCGUGUCGCUGGUGCUUAGCGCCCCACUUAAGGCACCCGGGCUAUGUGCAGCACUCAAAUGGCGCCUCAGUCACCCCAAAAGGCAAGCAAGCAUGAUUCUUCAGGAAACUGGCGCUCAGUGCCCCAAAAGGGGUGCCCAGGCGGUGGGCGGCACUCUUUGGCGCUGAAGGCUCCUCAAAGGGUGCCCAAGCUUCUUGUGUUC